GGAGAGGUGGCAGAGCGGUCGAAUGCGGCGGUCUUGAAAACCGUUAAACCGUGAGAACGGUUUCGAGGGUUCGAAUCCCUCCCUCUCCUCCA
rnacentral:tRNA from 1 species